UACAGAGGUGGCAAACGUUGUCCGGAUUUAUUGGGUGUAAAGGGCAUGUAGGUGGUUUUGUAAGUCAAAGGUGAAAUGGCCCGGCUUAACCAGGUCAUUGCCUUUGAAACUGCAGGACUUGAGUUCGGAAGAGGAAAGCGGAAUUCCCAGUGUAGCGGUGAAAUGCGUAGAUAUUGGGAGGAACACCGGUGGCGAAGGCGGCUUUCUGGUCCGAUACUGACACUGAGAUGCGAAAGCCAGGGGAGCAAACAGG
rnacentral:rRNA from 1 species